UUGCAUUCAAAUAUUUUUAAAUAAACAAUUCUAAAUCCCUUUUUUUAAUUUCCCUAUUAGGUUCAAACCGUCCUGCUGGAGGCGUCCCGAACCGUGGUUUGUACAAAACAGAGUAACCCGGGGACCAGGCAUGGCACCCAGAAGUAGAAUAAUCGAUCGGUGCCCCACAGACCGAAACGAUUUCAAGUAUCCGGUUAUCCCAAGACAAGUGCCGACGUGUCCUGGAAACAUAACCACAAUCAUUAAGUAGCGGCUCCCAGCAGAGGCAAGAGCUACGGGAAAUUCGAAAAAUCUUCUGCUGAUCCGUAAAUUGUAAUGAAGCAGUGGGAUCAAGAAUCUGAUUUUGAAAUCUUAUUUCGUAAUCGAACUGAGGAGGACACUCAGUGUAGUAUCCGGAGGCACAACACAGACGCUUACCUGGCUAGGUGUAGCAGGAUCGGUCACACACAGGAUGUGAAAAGACCCGGAAUAUUCCUCCUUUACUUGUAAGCUGUCUUUGGAUUCCUUGAUCACUGGUUCUUCGGACGACUCUACAAUCUGAGCUCAAUUAUUUCCUUCAAUUGACAACGGAGAUUCCGAAGCGAAAGCAUUUCUGGCGAAUAUGUUCAGCUGACAGAGUCGAUUUAAAAUGGUCAGAUUCAUCGGUGUUGAAGAUCUCAGCAUGUACGGCGAAAUAAUAUUGGAUCUGGACAGCAUUCCCUCCACAAUACAUUAAUUGGAUUUUAC